rnacentral:rRNA from 2 species
CGGUUACAUUUCGAACCCGGAAGCUAAGCCUUACAGCGCCGAUGGUACUGCAGGGGGGACCCUGUGGGAGAGUAGGACGCCGCCGAAC